CCCUUAGAUGUUCUGGGCCGCACGCGCGCUACACUGACGAAUGCAACGAGCUUAUAACCUUGGCCGAAAGGUCUGGGUAAUCUCCAAAUUUCGUCGUGAUGGGGAUAGAUUAUUGCAAUUAUUAAUCUUCAACGAGGAAUGCCUAGUAAGCGCAAGUCAUCAGCUUGCGUUGAUUACGUCCCUGCCCUUUGUACACACCGCCCGUCGCUCCUACCGAUUGAAUGGUCCGGUGAAGAGUUCGGACCGUGGCCUUUGGACGGUUCGCCGUCUGUUGGCUGCGGGAAGUUCGUUAAACCUUAUCAUUUAGAGGAAGGAGAAGUCGUANCA
rnacentral:rRNA from 1 species